GAUCUGGCAGCAGUGGGGAAUCUUAGACAAUGGGGGCAACCCUGAUCUAGCCAUGCCGCGUGAGUGACGAAGGCCUUAGGGUCGUAAAGCUCUUUCGCUGGGGAAGAUAAUGACGGUACCCAGUAAAGAAACCCCGGCUAACUCCGUGCCAGCAGCCGCGGUAAUACGGAGGGGGUUAGCGUUGUUCGGAAUUACUGGGCGUAAAGCGCGCGUAGGCGGAUUGGAAAGUUGGGGGUGAAAUCCCGGGGCUCAACCCCGGAACUGCCUCCAAAACUAUCAGUCUAGAGUUCGAGAGAGGUGAGUGGAAUUCCGAGUGUAGAGGUGAAAUUCGUAGAUAUUCGGAGGAACACCAGUGGCGAAAGCGACA
rnacentral:rRNA from 1 species